AGACCCGAAACCCGGUGAUCUAGCCAUGGGCAGGUUGAAGGUUGGGUAACACUAACUGGAGGACCGAACCGACUAAUGUUGAAAAAUUAGCGGAUGACCUGUGGCUGGGGGUGAAAGGCCAAUCAAACCGGGAGAUAGCUGGUUCUCCCCGAAAGCUAUUUAGGUAGCGCCUCGUGAAUUCAUCUCCGGGGGUAGAGCACUGUUUCGGCUAGGGGGCCAUCCCGGCUUACCAACCCGAUGCAAACUGCGAAUACCGGAGAAUGUUAUCACGGGAGACACACGGCGGGUGCUAACGUCCGUCGUGAAGAGGGAAACAACCCAGACCGCCAGCUAAGGUCCCAAAGUCAUGGUUAAGUGGGAAACGAUGUGGGAAGGCCCAGACAGCCAGGAUGUUGGCUUAGAAGCAGCCAUCAUUUAAAGAAAGCGUAAUAGCUCACUGGUCGAGUCGGCCUGCGCGGAAGAUGUAACGGGGCUAAACCAUGCACCGAAGCUGCGGCAGCGACGCUGAUGCGUUGUUGGGUAGGGGAGCGUUCUGUAAGCCUGCGAAGGUGGCCUGUGAGGGUUGCUGGAGGUAUCAGAAGUGCGAAUGCUGACAUAAGUAACGAUAAAGCGGGUGAAAAGCCCGCUCGCCGGAAGACCAAGGGUUCCUGUCCAACGUUAAUCGGGGCAGGGUGAGUCGACCCCUAAGGCGAGGCCGAAAGGCGUAGUCGAUGGGAAACGGGUUAAUAUUCCCGUACUUGGUGUUACUGCGAAGGGGGGACGGAGAAGGCUAUGUUGGCCGGGCGACGGUUGUCCCGGUUUAAGCGUGUAGGUGUGUGUUCCAGGUAAAUCCGGUUCACUUUAACACUGAGGCGUGAUGACGAGGCACUACGGUGCUGAAGCAACAAAUGCCCUGCUUCCAGGAAAAGCCUCUAAGCAUCAGGUA
rnacentral:rRNA from 1 species